UACGUAGGGGGCUAGCGUUGUCCGGAAUCAUUGGGCGUAAAGAGCGCGUAGGCGGCCCGGUAAGUCUGCUGUAAAAGUCAAAGGCUUAACCUUUGAAAGUCAGUGGAUACUGUCGGGCUAGAGUCCGGAAGAGGCGAGUGGAACUCCUGGUGUAGCGGUGGAAUGCGCAGAUAUCAGGAAGAACACCAACGGCGAAGGCAGCUCGCUGGGACGGAACUGACGCUGAGGCGCGAAAGCGUGGGGAGCGAACAGG
rnacentral:rRNA from 1 species